rnacentral:rRNA from 1 species
AGAGUUUGAUCCUGGCUCAGACGAACGCUGGCGGCGUGCUUAACACAUGCAAGUCGAACGAUGAAGCCCUUCGGGGUGGAUUAGUGGCGAACGGGUGAGUAACACGUGGGCAAUCUGCCCUUCACUCUGGGACAAGCCCUGGAAACGGGGUCUAAUACCGGAUAACACUCCUGCCUGCAUGGGUGGGGGUUAAAAGCUCCGGCGGUGAAGGAUGAGCCCGCGGCCUAUCAGCUUGUUGGUGGGGUAAUGGCCUACCAAGGCGACGACGGGUAGCCGGCCUGAGAGGGCGACCGGCCACACUGGGACUGAGACACGGCCCAGACUCCUACGGGAGGCAGCAGUGGGGAAUAUUGCACAAUGGGCGAAAGCCUGAUGCAGCGACGCCGCGUGAGGGAUGACGGCCUUCGGGUUGUAAACCUCUUUCAGCAGGGAAGAAGCGAAAGUGACGGUACCUGCAGAAGAAGCGCCGGCUAACUACGUGCCAGCAGCCGCGGUAAUACGUAGGGCGCAAGCGUUGUCCGGAAUUAUUGGGCGUAAAGAGCUCGUAGGCGGCUUGUCGCGUCGGAUGUGAAAGCCCGGGGCUUAACCCCGGGUCUGCAUUCGAUACGGGCAGGCUAGAGUGUGGUAGGGGAGAUCGGAAUUCCUGGUGUAGCGGUGAAAUGCGCAGAUAUCAGGAGGAACACCGGUGGCGAAGGCGGAUCUCUGGGCCAUUACUGACGCUGAGGAGCGAAAGCGUGGGGAGCGAACAGGAUUAGAUACCCUGGUAGUCCACGCCGUAAACGUUGGGAACUAGGUGUUGGCGACAUUCCACGUCGUCGGUGCCGCAGCUAACGCAUAAGUCCCCGCCUGGAGAGUACGGCCGCAAGGCUAAAACUCAAAGGAAUUGACGG